CUUCAUGGGUAGUGUUAUGGUUGAUAGUUUGGUUUAUGGGGCGUGAGUAAUAGUGUUUCGGUGGUUUGGUGCUGUUGGUUUGUGUUCGUAGGGAAAUAAGAGAAGAUCUUGUGUAGUGUUAAUCGCGCAUGGUUACAUUGCUAGUUGAGAGAAUGUUGGGCGCGGGUGGUUUGCGGUGCUGGCUCAUGGAGGGUCAAAGAUUGCUAGCUACCAUGGUUUUCUUUUAGUGAAAGAGAAGGUGUUUUUCUAUCAUGAGAGUAAGAAGGAAAUUAAGAAGUAGAAGAAAAAGAAAAAUUAAGUUUUCUCUUCACUCAUUUAUUUGGAUAGAUAGAUUAGUUUAGGGAGAUUUUUGAUCCUAUUGUUAUUUUUUUCUUUCUAAUUUGUUACAAAUUUGAUUCUCUUUAACAAACCCUUCUCUUUAACGAAGUUUGGGCAGAAGGAAACUCCAAGUACUUAAGUGAUGAGAUUGACAAGCUUCUUAAUUAGUGUAAAAAGUGUAUCUAUUGAUCUUAGCAUUACCAAGUAGGUUAUUACUCUCUGAAUUCAUUCUUUUAUAUGCUGCCACAUGAAAAAGGAUGAAUAUGAAGAAGCAACUUUUUAGUAAAGUUUAUGAGGUAGAUAUGUUAAGAAUAGUCUCACAUCGGAUAAUUCAUGAACAUGAUAAGUGCUUAUAUAGCUGGGUAGAUCACCCCCUUAUGAAUCGGUUUUUAAGGGGACCUUUCGGAUGCCUUGGCUGCACUAUAAAAUUUAAUAUGGUAUCAGAGCCAUCUUCUACUUCUGUCCGGUGGGUGCCGUCAACCCUGGCCCUUGAUACAACAACUGUAUUAUGUUGGUAAAUGGCGAAAAUCGUUAAAUUGCUUUCGCAGUUCAAGUAAAAACAACAACGACGACAAUGGAAUCAGAAACAUGGGAUUUUGAAAAAAAUUCAAAAGAUGCUCUUUGUAUAUAAUCCAUUAAUCUCCAAGUUUUAUAAUUCUGUGUAUUUGUGGUUAGGCAUUUGCAUGCCUUCUUUACUUUUGCUUUUUCUGUUUUGCUAUUUUUAUAUCUAGCAGGUUAUUAAAACAUGCAUGCUGAUAUAUCCGUCUUGUUAGUGUUUCUUUAUGAGAAUCCCUAUUAUCUCUUUCAUUUUAGCAGUUGAUUUAUUAAUUCUUUACAUGUAAUGAUGGGUAGUAUUCUAUUUCAUCUUUUUUUGCACUGGUCUUAGUAGUCGACCUGCAUCUAGACAGUAGUGUUGGACAAAAUAAUGUAAUAUAUAGUGACUGUACAUCGUCCAGGAUCACUAUCCUGUUACUACAAGUCAGAUCCAAAGGGACAAUACUUGACUUGCUGUUAAAUAUUUAUGUCAUUAGACUCAAUAUUUGAAAGGUUGUAUGGGGGAACGGUAUCUUGGGACUACAGGUCAGACCAAGAGACAGUUCAUGCAUGUAUUUAUUUGGUGGGAUUUAAUGCUUGAAGGAUUAUACACCAUCCAUAUUAAUAUCUAAUAUUACACAAAUACUGAAAGGACAA